UACGGAGGGUGCGAGCGUUGUCCGGAAUCAUUGGGCGUAAAGGGCGCGUAGGUGGCUUCUUAAGCGUGCGGUGAAAGCCUGGGGCUCAACCCCGGGUCGGCCGUGCGAACUGGGGGGCUGGAGCACUGUAGAGGCAGGCGGAAUUCCGCGUGUAGCAGUGAAAUGCGUAGAUAUGCGGAGGAACACCGAUGGCGAAGGCAAUCCCCUGGGCCUGCACUGACGCUCAUGCACGAAAGCGUGGGGAGCAAACAGG
rnacentral:rRNA from 1 species